rnacentral:lncRNA from 1 species
GCUUCGUAUACUAAUAUUAAUCAUAGCGUCAUACUUCAAUGCAAGUUUCUUAAGUGUUUUUGAGACUCAAUCAAUGACAGUUAAAUAAAAUAAGAGUACGCACAAGGGCAAAGGUGGAUGUGCAGUUUCGAAUAUGAGGUUUACUACCACCAAUGAUUUUCCCCUAUUAGUCUUUGUUAAAUUUGCACUUUCCCAAAAUUGUACAACAUUUAUCUUUGUAUCAAAUAAAGAAAUACUUAGACUUAGUCAAAUGUUAUUCAGUGGAGUACUAUAAUAUUUCACAUAACAUUUGAG